rnacentral:lncRNA from 1 species
AUCCGUCCCGGAUCUCACAGGGGGAUGAUGGAGCCCUGCACUCUGCUCCUGCUGCUGGCGGUCGCCCUGACCCCGACCCAGACCCGCGCCGGUGAGUGCGGGGUCGGGAGGGAAACGGCCUCUGCGGGGAGGGGCGGAGGGGGGGCACCGGGGAAACCCGGUCCCUGCGUCGCACACCAGACCCCCGCCCCUUCUCCACCCGCGUCCCGACCCCGCGCUCUGCUCCCCGCCCGGCCCGCGCACCCGCCCGGGGUCCCGGGAGGAGGUCGGGGUCUCACCGCGCGCCGCCCCCAGGCUCUCACUCGCUGCGGUAUUUCGUCACCGCCGUGUCCCGGCCCGGCCUCGGGGAGCCCCGGUACAUGGAAGUGGGCUACGUGGACGACACGCAGUUCGUGCGCUACGACAGCGAUGCAGAGAAUCCGAGAUACGAGCCGCGGGCGCCGUGGAUGGAGCGGGAGGGGCCGGAGUAUUGGGAGAGGGAGACCCAGAACGCCAAGAGAAACGAGCAGGUUUACCGAGUGGACCUGAGGACCGCGCUCCGCUACUACAACCAGAGCGAGGGCG